GGAAGAUUAGAAUGCCUAUACCACAGGUGGCAGUUUGGAGAUGACGGUUGAAAAUGAAUUGCCUGAAAAAAUUGAAAGGCUUGUGAGAUGUGAAGCCUCUACAUAUCAGAAACUUCUAAUGAAGAGGGUGGAAGAGAAUCUUGGGUCAAUUAGAAAUACAAAGGGUCGUUCUGUGCACAACACAGUGAUGGAGUUGCAUAAUAUAUGCAAUCAUCCAUAUUUGGAUCUAGUUCUAUUCUCUUUGAGGCUGCAGCUAGGCUUCC